AACGAACGCUGGCGGCAUGCCUAACACAUGCAAGUCGAACGAGAACUUCGGGUCUUGUGGCGCACGGGUGCGUCACGCGUGGGAACCUGCCCUUAGGUUCGGAAUAACUACCCGACUGGGGUGCCAAUACCGGAUCAUGUCUUCGGCCCAAAGAUUUAUCGCAUUUGGAUGGGCCCGCGUUGGAUUAGCUUGUUGUUAGGGUAAAAGCCUACCAAGGCGACGAUCCAUAGCUGGUUUGAGAGGAUGAUCAGCCACACUGGGACUGAGACGCGGCCCAGACUCCUACGCGAGGCAGCAGUGGGGAAUAGUGGACAAUGGGCGAAAGCCUGAUCCAGCAAGGCCGGGAGAGUGAUGAAGGCCGGAGGGUAGUAAAGCGCUUUUACCCGGGAUGAUAAUGACAGUACCGGGAGAAUAAGCUCCGGCUAACUCCGUG
rnacentral:rRNA from 1 species